rnacentral:rRNA from 1 species
GCAGCAGUGGGGAAUCUUAGACAAUGGGCGCAAGCCUGAUCUAGCCAUGCCGCGUGAUCGAUGAAGGCCUUAGGGUUGUAAAGAUCUUUCAGUUGGGAAGAUAAUGACGGUACCAACAGAAGAAGCCCCGGCUAACUCCGUGCCAGCAGCCGCGGUAAUACGGAGGGGGCUAGCGUUAUUCGGAAUUACUGGGCGUAAAGCGCACGUAGGCGGAUUAGAAAGUCAGAGGUGAAAUCCCAGGGCUCAACCUUGGAACUGCCUUUGAAACUUCUAGUCUUGAGUUCGAUAGGGGAGUGGGGAAUUCCUAGUGUAGCGGUGAAAUGCGCAGAUAUUAGGAGGAACACCGGUGGCGAAGGCGCCACUCUGGAUCGACACUGACGCUGAGGAACGAAAGCAUGGGUAGCAAACAGGAUUAGAUACCCUGGGUAGUCAUGCGGUAAACGGUGGGCACUAGGUGUGGGUUUCUAUUAACGAAAUCCGCGCCGUCGCUAAGGCAUUAAGUGCCCACCUGGGGGAGUACGGUCGCAAGACUAAAACUCAAAGGAAUUGGACGGGGAAUUCGAAUU